GGGGAUUUAGUUAAAUGGUAUAAUAGCGGUCUCCAAAACCGCGGUUGGGGGUUCGAUUCCCUCAGUCCCCG
rnacentral:tRNA from 1 species